UAUUGACCAUGGAAAGGAAUGAAAAUCCUUUGCAGCAACAUGAAUGCAACUGGAGGCCAUUAUCCUAAGUGAAUUAAUGUAGUCAGGAAACCAGAUAUGGUAUGUUCUCACUUAAAAUUGGGAGCUAAAUCUCGGGUACACAGAGACAGAAAGAUGUGAACAAUACACACUGGGGUCUCCAAAAGGAGGGGGGACAGGGAGAAGGACUGAAAAAAAAUUCCUAGUGGAUGCUAUGGUCACUAUCUGCAUAAGAAAAUCAACAGAAACCAAAACCUCAGCAUCACACAAUAUAACCUUGUAACAAAGCUGCACAUGUACCCUGUGAAUAUAAAAUUAAGAAGGAAAUAUUUUAAAAUAAUAAUAAAAAUAAAAUAAAUUAUCAAAGGAUCUAAUAUUUCUCUAAAGAAGAUGUACAAAUAACCAUUAAGCACAUGAAAAGACGUUCGAUACCAUUAGUCAUCAGAGACAUGUAAAUCAAAAUCAUGAUGAGAUAUUACAUUAUACCAACUAGGAUGACUGUAAUCAAAAAGUCAGAGAAUAACAAGUGUUGAUGAGCAUGUGGAGAGAUAAGCUCCCUCAUACACUGCUGGCAGGAAUGUAAAAAUGGUUUAGCCACUUGAACCAUUUUUAUAUGGAAAACACUCUGGCAGUUCCUAAAACAGGUAAACACAGUUACCAUAUGACCCAGCAAUUCUAUUCAUAUUUAUAUACCCAAAAGAAAUGAAAAUAUACAUCCAAACAAACCACAAAGCACAUGUCCACACAAAAAUUUAUACAUAAGUCUACAGCAGCAGUAUUCAUAAUAGCCAAAAGGUGAAACAAACCAGAUGUCUAUAAAUUGAUGAAUGGCUAAACAAAAAUGGUAUGUCCACGCAACAGAGUAUUAUUUGGCCAUGAAAAGAAAUAAAGUACAUAUAUAUGUAUACAAACACAUACAGGCAGUACUGAUACAACAUGAAUGCACCUUGAAAAUAUGCUAAGUGAAAGUAGAUUCACGGUUGCUUAGGCCGGGGGUAACGGGGAGAGAGAAGAACAAUAGCUAAUGUGUAUGUGGUUUCUUUUUGAAGUGACAAAAAUGUUUUUAAAUUGACUGAGGUGAUGGUUGUACCUAUCUGUGAAUAUACUAAAACCUAUUGAAUUGUAUACUAUAAAUGGGUGAAUUGCACAGUAAUGUGAAUUAUUUCUCAGUAAAGCUGUUUUUCUGUUUUUGUUUUUGUUUUUUUUAAAUUGAUAGAUUAGCCUAGAGGCCAGAAAACUUUUUCUGUAAAAAGUCAGACAGUAAAUAUUUUAGGCUUGGUGAUCCAUAUGGUCUCUGUCACAACUACUCAACUCUGCUAUUCUUGUGUAAAAGCAGCAAUAGACAAUAUGUAAAUGAAUGAGAGUGGCCAUAUGCCAAUAAAACGUUAUUUAUGGACAGUGAAAUUUCAAUUUCAUAUAAAUUUCACAUCUUGAAAUUCUUCUUUAGAUUUCUCCCUAAACUAUUUAAAAAUGUAAAAAUCAGGGUUCUCCCACUGCUCCUGCUGUGGGUCUCAGCAGCUCGGGCAGCGGGAGGAGCGGCAGUGACCAGGCAGCCCAGUUUUGCAAAGGCUCUCAGUGCGCCGCCAGGAUGCCCAAAAGGAAGGUUAGCUCCGCCAAAAAGGCUGCCAAGGAAGAGCCCAAGAGGAGAUAGGCACGGUUGUGUGCUAAACCUGCCCCUGCAAAAGUGGAGGCAAAGCCAAAACAGGCAGCAGCGAAGGCUAAAUCUUCAGACAAAAAAGUGCAAACAAAAGGAAAAAGGGGAGCAAAGGGAAAACAGGCUGACAUGCCUAACCAAGAAACUAAAGAACAUCUACCUGCAGAAAACGGGGAAAUGAAAAGUAAGGAGAAUCCAGCCUCUGAUGAAGCAGGAGAGAAAGAAGCCAAGUUUGAGUAAUACCAUAUACCAUGUCUUAUCAGUGGUCCCUGUCCCUCUUCUUGUACAAUCUAGAGGAAUAUUUCUAUCAAUUAUUUUGUAAAUGCAGGUUUUUUAGUAGCUCUAGGAACAUUUUUAAGAAGGGAAUCCCACCUCAUCCCAUUUUUUAAGUAAAAAUUCUUUUUUUAAGAGGUGAAAUCAUUCAAUGGUUGUUUAUUUUUUGGUACAACCAUAAAAUAGUGUGAGAUGCUGAAUUAUGGGAGGCUUUGACUGUCUCAGGUGUCAGCUUAACAUUCCAUAAAUGGGGGGUUAGUUUUUAUAUUCUAUAAUACAAACCAUAUUAAAUGACAAUAUGGAGUCAGUCCUGCAUUUAAUGUAUUAAGCAUUUUAAAUUACUUCUAUUCCCAUGUUGUUUUUUAGCAGAAUUGUUUCCUAAAGACAACCACUGCUUGACCAUGGCUCUCUCUGUCAGAAUUGUGUGCACUCUGUAACAUCUUUGGUGUGGUAGUACUAUUUUCUUAAUAACUCUGUUAUUGUGCUGUGAAAGAUUUAAAAUUUGAAUAUGUAGUGUAUGUGCUGUUCCGUUGUGAAUUGGUGGGGCAUAUGUAACAGCAUAUCAACAUGUGAAGAUACUGGUACUUGAUAGUCUCUUAAGGAAAAUUUGCUUCCAAAUUUUAAGCUGGAAAGUCACUGAAAUAACUUUAAAAAGGAAUUACAAUACAUGGCUUUUUAGAUUUUCAGUACAUAUGUUAAGAACUGUUUACAAAUUGAAAUGUCUGUAUAGAUCCUCAACCAACAAAAUCUCAAUUAUGAAAGAAAAAAACAUAAAAAUUAUUUUUAGUUUGCAGGCUAUACGAAAAAACACUUUGUUGAUCCCUGGACUAGAUAUAACAAAUCCACCCUCUGCUCUGGCUUCAGGUGCUAGGAAAAUCUCUCUCCUUAACAAUUCCCAUGAACAAAAGGCAACUUUGAUUCCCCGCUCGGUUUUCCUUCAUGCUACCAUCCCUACGUGUGGUUUUCCAACACCCUGAGAGGAUCACAAACCCAGCCAAACAUUCAACAGCAGGAAAACCUCUAGAAAUUCCAUUUACAAAAUAGAAUACCUACUUCAACCUACUUGGCAAAAACAGAGCUUACCACAUGUUCCUUACAAAUGACACUCACCUCUGGGCAGCGAUGGGGGGUAUAGGAAGAGGCUUAUGGACAAAGAAUACAAGAGAAUAAAACAAACUCAUGCCUCUCCCAAGAAGUUUCUGGCAUCUAAUCAAUUCUAAGAGGGAGGAUUUAGGAUUAUGUGUCAAUGAGCAAUACAAAAUAUAUACAUAUAUAUACACAUACACACACACACACACACACACACGUGUGUGUGUGUGUGUAUGUGGCAUGUAUAUGUGUGUGUUAAGGACAAAAUAUUCUAUUAGCCUAUUAAACUACACAGAAGAGAAAGCAGAAGAGUAGUGUAGGUAUUAGGAGUUCCAGAAGGCUUUGUUAAACAGCAUUUGUUCUUUCAUUUGCCUAGCCACCAUUUACUGAGUAGUUACUAUGUGACAGGUCUUGUGCUGAGAACCAAGGACACACAGAUUAAUCAGACAUACUGAAAGCAUCUAGGUGAGACAGAUAUACAGAAGAGAGUCUGUCCUUCAAGGCAAGAACCACUGUUCUAUGUGGAGGAAGGUGCUAUCACUCAAUCCCAAAGACAGAGCCCAGCAACUUUCUCUCCAACUCCUCCAUCCCCAUACUGCCUAGGACCACACAAAGUUUUCCACUCUCAACUGAUCACACAGCUUGCUUAACAUCCAGAGAAGUCACAAAGCUUAUGAAGUGUCAUACAAAAAACAGAUUUUCACAAAUAAUGUCUUGAAUCACAUUUCUGCCAUUUACCACUAUGUCACCUAGAGCCUGUAAAAUGCAAACUACCUCACAGUUACAACAUGGAAAAAAGGAGAUUAUUUAAGGCACAGUCCUUCACAGUGCCUACAUGUGGAAAAUGCUUCAUUUGUGUUUGACUAUUGUGAACCUAGGUCCCCUUAGGGGGCUUAUACUAUUUAUACUGUUUACCUUAGGAGAAACCUAGUGGCUGAGGAUAAACAAGAAUAAAUAGUAUGAUCCCCCUUGUCAAGGGACCCAGCAACUUCUAAUCUUACCAGUGACUUCCCAGAGACUUCUAAUCUUGCCUCUCUCUUCUCAAGAUACCAAGAGGCUAGAUGAAGGAGGAUGUGGGAAGGAUCCAAGACGGCCAAAUAGGAACAGCUCCGGAGUGCAGUUCCCAGCAAGAACAACGCAGAGAGUAAGUGCCCACCGCAUUUCCAAACAAAUUUUCACUGCCCACAGACCAGGAGAUUCCUGGGCUGAAAAGUGCCAUGAGUUUUCAGCACGGUGGUUUCAGCCGGUGCUGUGCUGGCGCACAGAAACUCACACAAAUCUGGGCGGCUGUUUCCACUGGCACCUGGAACGCCGGUGAGACAGAGCUGCCCAUUCAAUUGAAAGGGAGGGGGCAGAGACAGGGAGCCAGGCGAUCUGGCUCCGUGCGUACCACCCCCACAUAACAAGCAAUUGAAAGGCUCUGGAUUGAGAGUUUCCCAGCAAGCGCAGCUGGACCCAGGACGGU